rnacentral:rRNA from 1 species
AUUGAACGCUAGCGGGAUGCUUUACACAUGCAAGUCGAACGCAGUGGCGGACGGGUGGUUAAUAUAUCGGAACUUGCCCAGUAGCGGGGGAUAACUACUCGAAAGGGUGGCUAUUACCGCAUACUAUUGGAGCGGCUGAUAUCGGAUUCGCUAGUUGGUGGGGUAAAGGCUCACCAAGGCAACGAUCCGUAGCUGGUUUGAGAGGACGACCAGCCACACUGGGACUGAGACACGGCCCAGACUCCUACGGGAGGCAGCAGUGGGGAAUAUUGCACAAUGGGGGAAACCCUGAUCCAGCCAUCCCGCGUGUAUGAUGAAGGCCUUCGGGUUGUAAAGUACUUUUGGCAGAGAAGCGGUAUCUGCAGAAUAAGCACCGGCUAACUACGUGCCAGCAGCCGCGGUAAUAC